rfam:Sphingopyxis witflariensis strain DSM 14551 NODE_1_length_855691_cov_33.4336, whole genome shotgun sequence.
GGGCGCGUAGCUCAGUGGUAGAGCACACCCUUCACACGGGUGGGGUCGCAGGUUCAAUCCCUGCCGCGCCCA